UGCGUAGGCGGACUAAUAAGUCAGUGGUGAAAUCUCUCGGCUCAACCGGGAAACUGCCAUUGAUACUGUUAGUCUUGAGUUCGGUUGAGGUAGGCGGAAUGUGUAAUGUAGCGGUGAAAUGCUUAGAUAUUACACAGAACACCAAUUGCGUAGGCAGCUUACUAGACCGACACUGACGCUGAGGCACGAAGGCGUGGGUAGCGAACAGGAUUAGAUACCCUGGUAGUCC
rnacentral:rRNA from 1 species